rnacentral:lncRNA from 1 species
AGAUAUUAUGAUUUCAAUUACAGAAAACCUUGUCGGAUAUGAAAAGAAAGUAAUGAGUUGCUUGCUAUUUAUUUUUAUCUUUUGUUUUCUUUAUAUUCUGAUCCAAUUUUUCUUUCUUUGCAGUACCCAGAUUUGAAGCCGCCGUCAUCUCCAACUCCAUCAAAGCCACAAUAAUGAUGUUAGCAAUACCAUACUCAACUGGCAUCUUCAGGGAAGAAAUGAUUUUCUGCAAAGACAAUAUGAUUCUGCAACUGUUUUAAUUCGGAAUUUUACAAUUAUUCGUUCUCUACUUCUUGUUGAGUUUUAGAAAUAGUGUAAAGCAUCUUUACAAACAAUAAUCCGGUUCCGGAUUUUUAAGAGUGAUUAAUUAAUUGCUACAGAAUCUUAGCAACAAUGAGAAGUGAAGUACUAGUUGUGUAAUUGUUAAUACUUGGGAGAUUGGUAAAAAAAAAAGUGAAGAAAAAGAUAAGGUAACAAUUGGAGCCCUUAGGAGUUGAAUUUUCAUCAGGAUAAAUAUAAAGGAAAUUGGACAUUCAUGUUACAUAUUUAUAAUCUAUAAGAGAAGCACAUUGGAGGAACAUGAACUUAACAAUUGUUGCUUUCAAUGCAUCUGAUGUGUGUUUCUCGAAUUGUAAGUCGAAUACACCAUGUACUCUUUAUGAUACUAUCUUUGCUUAUAAAAAAUCAGCUGCUUAUUCUCUAUAAGCUAUAAGUAAUUAGC